rnacentral:rRNA from 1 species
GAAACAGCUUGCUGUUUCGCUGACGAGUGGCGGACGGGUGAGUAAUGUCUGGGAAACUGCCUGAUGGAGGGGGAUAACUACUGGAAACGGUAGCUAAUACCGCAUAACGUCGCAAGACCAAAGAGGGGGACCUUCGGGCCUCUUGCCAUCGGAUGUGCCCAGAUGGGAUUAGCUAGUAGGUGGGGUAACGGCUCACCUAGGCGACGAUCCCUAGCUGGUCUGAGAGGAUGACCAGCCACACUGGAACUGAGACACGGUCCAGACUCCUACGGGAGGCAGCAGUGGGGAAUAUUGCACAAUGGGCGCAAGCCUGAUGCAGCCAUGCCGCGUGUAUGAAGAAGGCCUUCGGGUUGUAAAGUACUUUCAGCGGGGAGGAAGGGAGUAAAGUUAAUACCUUUGCUCAUUGACGUUACCCGCAGAAGAAGCACCGGCUAACUCCGUGCCAGCAGCCGCGGUAAUACGGAGGGUGCAAGCGUUAAUCGGAAUUACUGGGCGUAAAGCGCACGCAGGCGGUUUGUUAAGUCAGAUGUGAAAUCCCCGGGCUCAACCUGGGAACUGCAUCUGAUACUGGCAAGCUUGAGUCUCGUAGAGGGGGGUAGAAUUCCAGGUGUAGCGGUGAAAU